UUUUGUUAAACCUGAACUAGAUGUAAAACUUUGCGAGGAACUUCCAGACUGCCUCCGUAAAGUUGUGCCGGAAGGAAAUCUUUUAGAAGACAGAUUUACCAGUUUACAACGCAGAAAUAUCCUGGAACCUCGACAAGUCUUCAAGAAAAGUAACCAGAAGAAAUACAAACGAAAGGUUUAUGUCAAACGCUCUCACAAAGAAGAUCCGGUGUAAUGUGAUGAAAGCUGAAAAUGUGACUUUCUUGACUGAAUAUUUUAAUAAAUUCAUAUUCUUAAAAUUG